UACGUAGGGGGCAAGCGUUGUCCGGAUUUAUUGGGCGUAAAGAGCGUGUAGGCGGUUUGGUAGGUCCGCUGUGAAAACUCGAGGCUCAACCUCGAGACGUCGGUUGAAACCGUAUGGCUAGAGUCCGGAAGAGGAGAGUGGAAUUCCCGGUGUAGCGGUGAAAUGCGCAGAUAUCGGGAAGAACACCCGUGGCGAAGGCGGCUCUCUGGGACGGUACUGACGCUGAGACGCGAAAGCGUGGGGAGCGAACAGG
rnacentral:rRNA from 1 species